UGAUCCUUCUUCAUCAUCUUUGUGCCAUUUCCAACUUCUUUCAGGAUGAAAAGGAAAACUUGGAGAAGCGAGGUCAGGACAGGCGGUCAUGCCGACUCACUGCCCAUCUCCUUAGCCUGAAUCACGCCUCCCCACACUCGGAUGGAGGACUUCUUAUUCCUCUCCGAUGGGCCAGGCACUGCCCCAUCACUUCCUUCACUUAAUUUUUACAAUCUUGUGAGGCAAACCUAGGCAUCUCCUAUGUCCUAAAACCAGCUGGAUUAGGCUGUCCUAUAGAGCCCAACGCUGGGCAGUGAGCCUGGUCUGCAGCACACCUGCAGGAAAAGCUCGAUCAGGUUCAGGUAAUAGGGCUGCUCCCGGCAGUAGACCUUCAGCAGUCGGUAGAUACACGCUUCCAGAAGAAGUGCAUCAUU